AGCCAAGUCGUGAGGCGGAGCUAAUCCCUUAAAGCCAUUCUCAGUUCGGAUUGUAGGCUGAAACUCGCCUACAUGAAGCUGGAGUUACUAGUAAUCGCAGAUCAGAAUGCUGCGGUGAAUACGUUCCCGGGCCUUGUACACACCGCCCGUCACACCAUGGGAGUCGGUAACACCCGAAGUCGGUAGCCUAACCGCAAGGAGGACGCAGUCGAAGGUGGGAUUGAUGACUGGGGUGAAGUCGUAACAAGGUAAC
rnacentral:rRNA from 1 species